GGGGGCUACCAUGCAGUCGACGAUGAAGCCCAGCUUGCUGGGUGGAUUAGUGGCGAACGGGUGAGUAACACGUGAGUAACCUGCCCUUAACUCUGGGAUAAGCCUGGGAAACUGGGUCUAAUACCGGAUAGGAGCGUCCACCGCAUGGUGGGUGUUGGAAAGAUUUAUCGGUUUUGGAUGGACUCGCGGCCUAUCAGCUUGUUGGUGAGGUAAUGGCUCACCAAGGCGACGACGGGUAGCCGGCCUGAGAGGGUGACCGGCCACACUGGGACUGAGACACGGCCCAGACUCCUACGGGAGGCAGCAGUGGGGAAUAUUGCACAAUGGGCGCAAGCCUGAUGCAGCGACCCCGCGUGAGGGAUGACGGCCUUCGGGUUGUAAACCUCUUUCAGUAGGGAAGAAGCGAAAGUGACGGUACCUGCAGAAGAAGCACCGGCUAACUACGUGCCAGCGCCCCCGGGAUAAUACACCA
rnacentral:rRNA from 1 species